GAUGAACGCUGGCGGCGUGCCUAAUACAUGCAAGUCGAGCGAACGGACGAGAAGCUUGCUUCUCUGAUGUUAGCGGCGGACGGGUGAGUAACACGUGGAUAACCUACCUAUAAGACUGGGAUAACUUCGGGAAACCGGAGCUAAUACCGGAUGAUAUUUUGAACCGCAUGGUUCAAAAGUGAAAGACGGUCUUGCUGUCACUUAUAGAUGGAUCCGCGCUGCAUUAGCUAGUUGGUAAGGUAACGGCUUACCAAGGCAACGAUGCAUAGCCGACCUGAGAGGGUGAUCUGCCACACUGGAACUGAGACACGGUCCAGACUCCUACGGGAGGCAGCAGUAGGGAAUCUUCCGCAAAGGGCGGAAGCCUGACGGAGCAACGCCGCGUGAGUGAUGAAGGUCUUCGGAUCGUAAAACUCUGUUAUUAGGGAAGAACAUAUGUGUAAGUAACUGUGCACAUCUUGACGGUACCUAAUCAGAAAGCCACGGCUAACUACGUG
rnacentral:rRNA from 1 species